GCAGGCGCGAAAACUUUACAAUGCGGGAAACCGUGAUAAGGGGACACCGAGUGCCAGCAUCAUAUGCUGGCUGUCCAGAUGUGUAAAAUACAUCUGUUAGCAAGGGCCGGGCAAGACCGGUGCCAGCCGCCGCGGUAACACCGGCGGCCCGAGUGGUGAUCGUGAUUAUUGGGUCUAAAGGGUCCGUAGCCGGUUUGGUCAGUCCUCCGGGAAAUCUGAUGGCUCAACCAUUAGGCUUUCGGGGGAUACUGCCAGGCUUGGAACCGGGAGAGGUAAGAGGUACUACAGGGGUAGGAGUGAAAUCUUGUAAUCCCUGUGAGACCACCUGUGGCGAAGGCGUCUUACCAGAACGGGUUCGACGGUGAGGGACGAAAGCUGGGGGCACGAACCGGAUUAGAUACCCGGGUAGUCCCAGCCGUAAACGAUGCUCGCUAGGUGUCAGGCAUGGCGCGACCGUGUCUGGUGCCGCAGGGAAGCCGUGAAGCGAGCCACCUGGGAAGUACGGCCGCAAGGCUGAAACUUAAAGGAAUUGGCGGGGGAGCACAACAACGGGUGGAGCCUGCGGUUUAAUUGGACUCAACGCCGGACAACUCACCGGGGACGAC
rnacentral:rRNA from 1 species